rnacentral:lncRNA from 1 species
UAAAAGUGUGCUUUUAAAAAUUAUUUUAAAGAGUCAGCCAGAAUAGUCAAGAGUACCUUGUAUCAAACCAACUCACUGACCAAGAAAACCUGUAAAAGCUGGAUAGAAAACAACAAAAAUGACAACACAACAUCCAUGGUUGUUGCAAACAUUAGCCAUCAAAAAAGACAGCCCAACUUGAGAGAACAGUAACAACCUGGAGCUUUAAGCAGUCCCACACGGUUAUGGAAACAAAAACUCCAAUUAAGAGCUAUCAAAGCAGGCAAAUCCUGGAGAACAAAGGAGCCACAGAGAAGUGAGUCUUGUAUUUGGUAUGCCUUUUCUUCCCAAUUUCUUCACCCAAUUUUUUAGGCUAUGAAAUGGGCCUAAACCAAAGCUUUAAAGAAUUGAGAAGGGAAUAAACCAAAUGAAAAAUGAGUACUGAG